rnacentral:rRNA from 1 species
AGCAUGUGGUUUAAUUCGAUGAUACGCGAGGAACCUUACCUGGGCUCGAACGUAAGAUGACUGUAGGUGAAAGCUUACAUCUCUUCGGAGCAUUUUACGAGGUGCUGCAUGGUUGUCGUCAGCUCGUGCCGUGAGGUGUCGGGUUAAGUCCCAUAACGAGCGCAACCCUACCUUUAGUUGCCAUCAGGUAAUGCUGGGGACUCUAAAGGAACUGCCUACGCAAGUAGUGAGGAAGGCGGGGAUGACGUCAAAUCAGCACGGCCCUUACGUCCAGGGCUACGCACGUGCUACAAUGGCCGAUACAGAGGGCAGCUACCUGGUGACAGGAUGCAAAUCUCCAAAGUCGGUCUCAGUUCGGAUCGGAGUCUGCAACCCGACUCCGUGAAGUUGGAUUCGCUAGUAAUCGCGCAUCAGCCAUGGCGCGGUGAAUACGUUCCCGGGCCUU